rnacentral:piRNA from 1 species
UGCAUAGUCUCCAAGGUUGUGCGGGAGUGU